GUGAAGCGAUGGAAACUGAUGAUACUCCAGCAGCUGAGAUCAGCACAUCUCCUGAGAGAUUGCAAGCAUUCAGUGCAGCACUUGGUAGGCACAGGAACUUACAACAUGUGGAACAAAUUCCAGUUGCUGAUGUGGAGAAUGUUGUCAACAAUGGGGCGACUGUACCUUACUCAAAGGCGGAGAUAGAGAAAUUAUUAAAGAUGAUGGAAGAGAAAGGCCAAUUGUGGGUACACAGUGAUACCAAUGUAGUUUACUUCAUGUAAAUCGGUCCAAUUGGAGCGCUCGCAAGUUCAGUUGUCUCCUUUCUGAUGGAUUGUCCAAG
rnacentral:misc_RNA from 1 species